AUUGAACGCUGGCGGCAGGCCUAACACAUGCAAGUCGAACGGUAACAGGAAGCAGCUUGCUGCUUUGCUGACGAGUGGCGGACGGGUGAGUAAAGUCUGGGAAACUGCCCGAUGGAGGGGGAUAACUACUGGAAACGGUAGCUAAUACCGCAUAACGUCGCAAGACCAAAGAGGGGGACCUUAGGGCCUCUUGCCAUCGGAUGUGCCCAGAUGGGAUUAGCUAGUAGGUGGGGUAACGGCUCACCUAGGCGACGAUCCCUAGCUGGUCUGAGAGGAUGACCAGCCACACUGGAACUGAGACACGGUCCAGACUCCUACGGGAGGCAGCAGUGGGGAAUAUUGCACAAUGGGCGCAAGCCUGAUGCAGCCAUGCCGCGUGUAUGAAGAAGGCCUUCGGGUUGUAAAGUACUUUCAGCGGGGAGGAAGGGAGUAAAGUUAAUACCUUUGCUCAUUGACGUUACCCGCAGAAGAAGCACCGGCUAACUCCGUG
rnacentral:rRNA from 1 species